rnacentral:pre_miRNA from 1 species
AGGAGGAACAACCCCAGUGGCGGGGGCAGGUCUGGAGCCCUGGAGUCAGCUCCCGCAGUAACUCCAGAGCUCUCCGUCUGCAGGGCCUGGAGGCUCCGGGGUGGG